rnacentral:rRNA from 1 species
GGAUCCAGACUUUGAUUCUGGCUCAGGACGAACGCUGGCGGCGCGCCUAACACAUGCAAGUCGAACGAGCGAGAGAGAGCUUGCUUUCUCGAGCGAGUGGCGAACGGGUGAGUAACGCGUGAGGAACCUGCCUCAAAGAGGGGGACAACAGUUGGAAACGACUGCUAAUACCGCAUAAGCCCACGACCCGGCAUCGGGUAGAGGGAAAAGGAGCAAUCCGCUUUGAGAUGGCCUCGCGUCCGAUUAGCUAGUUGGUGAGGUAACGGCCCACCAAGGCGACGAUCGGUAGCCGGACUGAGAGGUUGAACGGCCACAUUGGGACUGAGACACGGCCCAGACUCCUACGGGAGGCAGCAGUGGGGAAUAUCGCACAAUGGGGGAAACCCUGAUGCAGCGACGCCGCGUGGAGGAAGAAGGUCUUCGGAUUGUAAACUCCUGUUGUUGAGGAAGAUAAUGACGGUACUCAACAAGGAAGUGACGGCUAACUACGUGCCAGCAGCCGCGGUAAAACGUAGGUCACAAGCGUUGUCCGGAAUUACUGGGUGUAAAGGGAGCGCAGGCGGGAAGACAAGUUGGAAGUGAAAUCCAUGGGCUCAACCCAUGAACUGCUUUCAAAACUGUUUUUCUUGAGUAGUGCAGAGGUAGGCGGAAUUCCCGGUGUAGCGGUGGAAUGCGUAGAUAUCGGGAGGAACACCAGUGGCGAAGGCGGCCUACUGGGCACCAACUGACGCUGAGGCUCGAAAGUGUGGGUAGCAAACAGGAUUAGAUACCCUGGUAGUCCACACUGUAAACGAUGAUUACUAGGUGUUGGAGGAUUGACCCCUUCAGUGCCGCAGUUAACACAAUAAGUAAUCCACCUGGGGAGUACGACCGCAAGGUUGCA